rnacentral:rRNA from 1 species
AUUGAACGCUGGCGGCAGGCCUAACACAUGCAAGUCGAGCGGGGUUUUCGGACCUAGCGGCGGACGGGUGAGUAAUGCGUAGGAAGCUACCCGAUAGAGGGGGAUACCAGUUGGAAACGACUGUUAAUACCGCAUAAUGUCUACGGACCAAAGUGUGGGACCUUCGGGCCACAUGCUAUCGGAUGCGCCUACGUGGGAUUAGCUAGUUGGUGAGGUAAUGGCUCACCAAGGCGACGAUCCCUAGCUGGUUUGAGAGGAUAAUCAGCCACACUGGAACUGAGACACGGUCCAGACUCCUACGGGAGGCAGCAGUGGGGAAUAUUGGACAAUGGGCGCAAGCCUGAUCCAGCCAUGCCGCGUGUGUGAAGAAGGCCUUCGGGUUGUAAAGCACUUUCAGUAGGGAGGAAGGGUGUUGUGUUAAUAGCACAGCAUUUUGACGUUACCUACAGAAGAAGCACCGGCUAACCCUGUGCCAGCCGCCGCCGUAAAAC